UGGGGCCGAUUAUCUUGGGUAGUUACCUGU
rnacentral:piRNA from 1 species